CAGUAGCCGCGGUAAAACGUAGGUGGCAAGCGUUGUCCGGAAUUAUUGGGCGUAAAGGGCUCGCAGGCGGUUUCUUAAGUCUGAUGUGAGAGCCCCCGGCUCAACCGGGGAGGGUCAUUGGAAACUGGGAAACUUGAGUGCAGAAGAGGAGAGUGGAAUUCCACGUGUAGUGGUGAAAUGCGUAGAGAUGUGGAGGAACACCAGUGGCGAAGGCGACUCUCUGGUCUGUAACUGACGCUGAGGAGCGAAAGCGUGGGGAGCGAACAGGAUUAGAUCCCUGUAGUCCCUGUCUCUUAUACAC
rnacentral:rRNA from 1 species